GUAGGUGAACCUGCGGAAGGAUCAUUAAUAGUGCUCAUUGACGCAAGUCAGUGAGUUAGAUCUGCUCUCUUCGCAAGAAGAGAGUUUCCAUACACACCGUGAACUGUGGCUUCGGCCAUCACAAACUGUUAGUAAUGAAUGUAAUAUCAUAACAAAAACAAAACUUUUAACAACGGAUCUCUUGGCUCUC
rnacentral:misc_RNA from 1 species